CUGUCUCUUGCUUCAACUGUGUUUGGACGGAACAG
rfam:Myotis lucifugus cont2.21868, whole genome shotgun sequence.